CGUCGWCGCGAGAAGUCCACUGAACCUUAUCAUUUAGAGGAAGGAGAAGUCGUAACAAGGUUUCCGUAGGUGAACCUGCGGAAGGAUCAUUGUCGAAACCUGCCCAGCAGACCGACCGGGAAAUAUCAAAGUUAUKCCCUCCUACUUCAGGGSGAGUCCCCCUCCUCGGGGGAGGGYCAGCCUCUGGCAAUCAAUGAACCCCCGRCGCRSAACGARWCAAGGAAUACUAAAAUGAGAUGGCCAGCCCCGUCGUGCUCCGUGUCAUGCCGCCGGGUGCGGGAGCAACUAGGNGUCUUGCUUAAUAAGAAAMAACUCUMUGCAABSGAUAUCUBACCUCWMGCAUCGAGGAAAAACGGACAGAAAUGCGAUAUUGCAGAAGAAUUGCAAMAUCCCGUGAACCAUUUGGUCUUUGAACGCAAGUUGCGCCCGAAGUCGUCAGUCCGAGGGCACGUCURSCUGGCCGUCACGCAUCGCUGUCCCCCCUACUGUGCGCUUGGUACAYCAAGGGGGAGCGGAUGAUGGCCUCGGGUGCCCCCCACUAGGAGUGUGGAGUGCCCAAAUUCMMMUCUCCUUGCGUACUGACGUCACGGCAAGUGGUGGUCGUAMCGAGUGUGCAUAUCGUCRCGCCGUGCCCCAGUCGUCGUUCGGCAAUUGACCMUAAUGAGCCCCUUCAGUGCGGCUCUCAAACCGCGACCCCAGGUCAGGCGGGAUCACCCGCUGAGUUUAAGCAUAUCAA
rnacentral:misc_RNA from 1 species